rnacentral:rRNA from 2 species
CAACUUUCAGCAACGGAUCUCUUGGCUCUCGCAUCGAUGAAGAACGCAGCGAAAUGCGAUAAGUAAUGUGAAUUGCAGAAUUCAGUGAAUCAUCGAAUUUUUGAACGCAUCUUGCGCUCCUUGGUAUUCUGAGGAGCAUGCCUGUUUGAGUAUCAUAA